AGGAACUUCGGUUCCUGAGUAAAGCGGCGGACGGGUGAGUAACACGUGGGUAAUCUGCCCUCGGGUGGGGAAUAACUCAGGGAAACCUGGGCUAAUUCCGCAUGACACUUUCGAUACAUAAGUAUUGAGAAUCAAAGCUGGGGACCCUUCGGGGCCUGGCGCCUGAGGAGGAGCCCGCGGCCAAUUAGCUUGAUGGUGAGGUAACGGCUCACCAUGGCUCCGAUUGGUAGCCGGCCUGAGAGGGCGGACGGUCACACUGGGACUGAGACACGGCCCAGACUCCUACGGGAGGCAGCAGUGGGGAAUUUUUGUCAAUGGGGGAAACCCUGAACAAGCAACGCCGCGUGAAGGACGAAGACCUUCGGGUUGUAAACUUCUGUCGGAGGGGACGAAAGCUUUCGUGGUUAAUACCCAUGAUUGUUGACGGUACCCUAUGAGGAAGCCCCGGCUAACUCCGUGCCAGCAGCCGCGGUAAUACGGGGGGGGCAAGCGUUGUUCGGAAUUACUGGGCGUAAAGGGCGCGCAGGCGGGCGGGAAAGUCUCUCGUGAAAGCCCACGGCUC
rnacentral:rRNA from 1 species